rnacentral:rRNA from 1 species
GUGGGGAAUAUUGGACAAUGGGGGGAACCCUGAUCCAGCCAUGCCGCGUGUGUGAAGAAGGCCUUUUGGUUGUAAAGCACUUUAAGCGAGGAGGAGGCUACCGAGAUUAAUACUCUUGGAUAGUGGACGUUACUCGCAGAAUAAGCACCGGCUAACUCUGUGCCAGCAGCCGCGGUAAUACAGAGGGUGCAAGCGUUAAUCGGAUUUACUUGGCGUAAAGCGCGCGUAGGUGGCCAAUUAAGUCAAAUGUGAAAUCCCCGAGCUUAACUUGGGAAUUGCAUUCGAUACUGGUUGGCUAGAGUAUGGGAGAGGAUGGUAGAAUUCCAGGUGUAGCGGUGAAAUGCGUAGAGAUCUGGAGGAAUACCGAUGGCGAAGGCAGCCAUCUGGCCUAAUACUGACACUGAGGUGCGAAAGCGUGGGGAGCAAACAGGAUUAGAUACCCCAGUAGUCC